GACAGAAGAUGCAAGCGUUAUCCGGAAUGAUUGGGCGUAAAGCGUCUGUAGGUGGCUUUUUAAGUCCGCCGUCAAAUCCCAGGCUCAACCCUGGACAGGCGGUGGAAACUACCAAGCUGGAGUACGGUAGGGGCAGGAGGGAAUUCCGGGUGGAGCGGUGAAAUGACGUAGAGAUCGGAAAGAACACCAACGGCGAAAGCACUCUGCUGGGCCGACACUGACACUGAGAGACGAAAGCUAGG
rnacentral:rRNA from 1 species